GAUGAACGCUGGCGGCGUGCCUAAUACAUGCAAGUCGAGCGAACAGACGAGGAGCUUGCUCCUUUGACGUUAGCGGCGGGCGGGUGAGUAACACGUGGGUCACCCACUUAUAAGUCGGGGAUAAUUUCGGGACACCGGAGCUAAUACCGGAUAAUAUUCCGAACCGCAGGGUUCGAUGGUGAAAGACGGCUUUGCUAUCACUUAUAGCUGGAUCUGCGCCGUAUUAGCUAGUUGGUAAGGUAACGGCUUACCAAGGCAACGAUACGUAGCCGACCUGAGAGGGUGAUCGGCCACACUGGAACUGAGACACGGUCCAGACUCCUACGGGAGGCAGCAGUAGGGAAUCUGCCGCAAUGGGCGAAAGCCUGGCGGAGCAACGCCGCGUGAGUGAUGAAGGUCUUCGGAUCGUAAAGCUCGGUUAUUGGGGAAGAACAGACGUGGAAGUAACUGUGGACGGCUUGACGGUACCUAAUCAAAAAGCCACGGCUAACUACGUG
rnacentral:rRNA from 1 species